GAUGAACGCUGGCGGCGUGCUUAACACGAUGCAAGUCGAACGAAGAUGCCGGAGUGCUUGCACUUUGGCAGACUGAGUGGCGGACGGGUGAGUAACGCGUGGGUAACCUGCCUUAUACAGGGGGAUAACAGUUGGAAACGACUGCUAAUACCGCAUAAGCGCACGGUAUCGCAUGAUACAGUGUGAAAAACUCCGGUGGUAUAAGAUGGACCCGCGUCUGAUUAGCUUGUUGGUGAGGUAACGGCCCACCAAGGCGACGAUCAGUAGCCGGCCUGAGAGGGUGAACGGCCACAUUGGGACUGAGACACGGCCCAAACUCCUACGGGAGGCAGCAGUGGGGAAUAUUGCACAAUGGGGGAAACCCUGAUGCAGCGACGCCGCGUGAGUGAUGAAGUAUUUCGGUAUGUAAAACUCUAUCAGCAGGGAAGAUAAUGACAGUACCUGACUAAGAAGCACCGGCUAAAUACGUG
rnacentral:rRNA from 1 species